CCGGCGGCGGCAGCUGCGCCGCCAAAGCCCCGGGCCCCAGCGGCCCCCCACCCCUCACUCGCGCGCUCCCACACUGCCUCCCCCUCCCCGGGGGAAGGCCUUUUAAUUUAUUUAUUCUUCUGGGACUGGGGUGGGGGUCUUGGCUGGCGGGGGAGGGGGUCUCCGCGGGCUCUACCUCCCGCGGCCGGGACUACCCUCAGAGCCGCGACCGCCGCGGCAUGCGUCCCGGGCCUGCAAAACUGUUUCCAAACUGCCCGGGCCGGAGGCGGGCACGCGGGGCCCGGGGAGAUGGCUGGGGUCUGGGGGGCCGAGGGUGUGUGUGGACGCUGGGAGCCGCGGGGGGAGGCCGGCGUCGACUCAGAGGAGUUGCAAUCGAGGUCCGGGAGUGGCGGCGGCCAAUCAGCGCGCGGCUUCCAUUUUAGCAGUAAACAGUCCUCAGCGAAGCCGCCUUUUUGCCUACCCAACCCUGGAAAGUUUGCAGAAGUGGAAGGAGCAGAACGUGAGGGUGUAACUUACAAAAAGGUUCUGGGCCGGAGAAGGGGCGACGUUCGGGCACCCCCCGAAUGGACAAUCUUUCCUUCUGUCAACGGCAGGGGCAGGCCUAGUUUGACUCUGACAGUCCUCCCACUA
rnacentral:lncRNA from 1 species